rnacentral:lncRNA from 1 species
CCUAGUUUUUACAUUUGUGAUUAGGGCAUUUCUAACUAAGAUGUAGUGAUUGAGUUUGAAAUCAGCCACAAAUAAUUACAAAUUUAUUAAUUAAUUAAGUACAAUGAAAACAAAAACUCAUGCAUGAAAACAAUAAAAAUAAGCACAAGAUCAAAUCAAUCCUUGCAUAAUGCAUAACGCAUAACGCACCUUGUACGAAUGAGGAGAGUCGCUCGGUGAUACAGCAAAGCAAAAGCAACUUACUUCCAACAUUUGGUAAAGUCUAUGUGCGAUGGGGG